UGGCCACAUCACAUUGAAACACCGGUUCCUGUAUGAUCACCAAGUUAAGCAACAUCAAGCCUGGUCAGUACUUAGAUGAGUGACCACUUGGGAAUACCAGGUGCUGUAAG